rnacentral:rRNA from 1 species
GUGGGGAAUAUUGGACAAUGGGCGCAAGCCUGAUCCAGCCAUGCCGCGUGUGUGAAGAAGGUCUUCGGAUUGUGAAGCACUUUAAGUUGGGAGGAAGGGCAGUAGGUUAAUACCUUGCUGUUUUGACGUUACCGACAGAAUAAGCACCGGCUAACUUCGUGCCAGCAGCCGCGGUAAUACGAAGGGUGCAAGCGUUAAUCGGAAUUACUGGGCGUAAAGCGCGCGUAGGUGGUUUUGUAAGUUGGAGGUGAAAUCCCCGGGCUCAACCUGGGAACUGCCUCCAAAACUGCAUGACUAGAGUACGGUAGAGGGUAGUGGAAUUUCCUGUGUAGCGGUGAAAUGCGUAGAUAUAGGAAGGAACACCAGUGGCGAAGGCGACUACCUGGACUGAUACUGACACUGAGGUGCGAAAGCGUGGGGAGCAAACAGGAUUAGAAACCCGUGUAGUCC